UCCCUGGUGGUCAAGUGGCUAAGGAUCCUGUGCUCUCACCACCGCAGCCCGGGUUUGAUUCCUGGGUAGGGAA
rnacentral:tRNA from 1 species